rnacentral:sRNA from 2 species
CUGAAAGCCGCUAGGGUUCCGGUCCAGUUUUCUGGAUGGCUGGUCCGAGAGCGCGCGGCCUCGGCUUCGAGGUUACACGGCGGGACAAAAGCCCGGGAGAU